rnacentral:rRNA from 1 species
UGGGGAAUAUUGCGCAAUGGGCGAAAGCCUGACGCAGCGACGCCGCGUGAGGGAUGAAGGCCUUCGGGUUGUAAACCUCUUUCAGCAGGGACGAAGCGCAAGUGACGGUACCUGCAGAAGAAGCGCCGGCUAACUACGUGCCAGCAGCCGCGGUAACACGUAGGGCGCAAGCGUUGUCCGGAAUUAUUGGGCGUAAAGAGCUCGUAGGCGGUCCGUCACGUCCGCUGUGAAAACCCAGGGCUCAACCCUGGGCUUGCAGUGGAUACGGGCGGACUAGAGGUAGGUAGGGGAGAAUGGAAUUCCCGGUGUAGCGGUGAAAUGCGCAGAUAUCGGGAGGAACACCGGUGGCGAAGGCGGUUCUCUGGGCCUUACCUGACGCUGAGGAGCGAAAGCGUGGGGAGCAAACAGGAUUAGAUACC